ACGACCUUACUUGAACAGGAUCUGUUCUAUAGGUUCGUACCACUGUAUCCUUGAGCUCUAAGGAGACAGGAAACUAGGUUUGGUUGAUGAAGUAUGGCUGUGAAACCGGAGCGUGAUUAACAGCCCCAGUGGUCCUUAGUCGGCCAUGGAACUGUAGAGGAUCGUUCUCAUCCUGCACGCAGGUCUGGGUUGGUUUCAUAGUUGUCUGACAGACU